rnacentral:rRNA from 1 species
UACGAAGGGGGCUAGCGUUGUUCGGAAUCAUUGGGCGUAAAGGGCGCGUAGGCGGGCUUGUAAGUCGAUUGUGAAAUCCCUGGGCUUAACCCGGGAACUGUAGUCGAAACUGCAAGUCUUGAAUGCUCGAGAGGAUGGUGGAAUUCCUGGAGUAGUAGUGAAAUACGUAGAUAUCAGGAGGAACACCGGAGGCGAAGGCGGCCAUCUGGCGAGACAUUGACGCUGAGGCGCGAAAGCACGGGGAGCAAACAGG